CCUCAUCUCAAUAAUCAAGACUUCUACAAAUACUCAGCCCUGCCACUUCCACUCUGCCAGAUUGUAGCCUCUGCAUCAUCCUGUCUGCUGUGCUUCCAGCCCCUGUCUCCAGCCCCUCGUAUCAUCAGCCCUGCCUCCCUGCCCUGGAUUCCCACUCUUCCUAGUUUCCAGCCCAAGCCUCAGCCUCAGGUUCCCAGCUUCCAGCCCAAGCUUUCCCAAGUCUGCAUUCCUUUCCCCCAGCCUUCUCAAUAAAUACCUUUUGCUAUUAUA